AAAAUCCGUCGACUUUAGAAAUCGUGAGGGUUCAAGUCCCUCUAUCCCCCCAAAAAGACCGCUUUGACUAUUUCUCCUACCCUCUCUUUUUUUUAGUGGUUCCAAAUUUGUUCUCUUUCUCAUUCAUUCUACCUUUUUACAAACGUAUCAGAGCAGAAUUUUUUUCUUUUAUCACAAUCACAAGUGGUGUGGUAUAUAUGAUAUACGUACAAAUGAACAUCUUUGAACAAAGAAUCCCGAUUCACAAUUCAUAUCAUUGCUCAUACUGAAACUUAUAAAUUAUUCUAUUCAAGAAAUCUAAUUCCACGCUCAAGACUUUUAAUACUUUUUUUAUCUUUUUUAAUUGACAUAGACCCCAGUCAUCUAGUAAAAUAAGGAUGAUGCGCCGGUAAUGGUCGGGAUAGCUCAGCUGGUAGAGCAGAGGACUGAAAAUC
rnacentral:tRNA from 1 species